UACAGAGGUGGCAAGCGUUGUUCGGAAUUACUGGGCGUAAAGCGUGCGUAGGCGGUGAGUUAAGUCUGUCGUGAAAUCCCCGGGCUCAACCUGGGAAUGGCGAUGGAUACUGGCUCGCUAGAGUGUGAUAGAGGAUGGUGGAAUUCCCGGUGUAGCGGUGAAAUGCGUAGAGAUCGGGAGGAACAUCAGUGGCGAAGGCGGCCAUCUGGAUCAACACUGACGCUGAGGCACGAAAGCGUGGGGAGCAAACAGG
rnacentral:rRNA from 1 species